AGGUUUCGAGCGUGGAGAAUCGUUAAAUCAAGAGCAGGUACCGCCAUAAAAAAUAAGACAUCAGAAAAUUUCCUUCCUCCGUGUGCCAUGCCUUGAAAGGAUUCCUUACCAACUGGUUAUGAUUAUCAUAUUUGCAAGCAUCAAGUCGUGGACAAAGGAUAUGAAGCAGAGUUUAGAAUAGCCAUUGACAGUGAAGAAAGUGCUAGAACUUGGAUCAAACAAUACCAAAAGAUUAGUAAGGUUACUCUCCGGGUAGCAGCAACAAAGCCUACAAGUGGUAAGGCGAACCUUUUCAAAAUCUUCUAUCGAUGCCAGCACAAGACAUUGCCACGUUCAGUGACAGCCAAUCAGAAAACUUCAUCUAAGAACACACAUUGUCCAGCACAACUUAAUUUGACUGUUAAAGGAAUACCUGCACAACUGAACAAAUCCAAAAAUGAAGACCUUCACUUGCCGAUCUAUCCAACUGUGGUCAAGAUCAAAUACACUCAUAACCACAUGAUCAACAGUGCAGAUACCCUUAAGCAUAGAGAUGUUAGUGAGGAUACCAUAGAGAUCUUAAAAAACCUGUAUGCCAAAGGCCAUUCUCCUGCAUCUGCACUGAACACACAUAAGUUAGA